rnacentral:tRNA from 1 species
CUAAAAGCCCCUCGCUUACACCGAGAUAAUGUCUGUUUAACUCGGACCAUUUUGA